rnacentral:lncRNA from 1 species
UUUUUUUUUUUAUUUUUAUUUUUUGGUCUUUUUAGGGCCAUACCCGCAGCAUAUGGAGGUUCCCAGGCCAGGGGUCAAAACUGAGCUACAGCUGUCCGCCUACACCACAGCCACAGCAACUCGGGAUCCCAUCCACAUCUGCGACCUACACCACAGCUCACAGCAAUGCCAGAUCCUUAACCUGCUGACCGAAGCCAGAGAUCAAACCUGCAUCCUCGUGGAUGCUAGUCAGAUUCGUUUCUGCUGAGCCACGAUGGGAACUCUGAUGGGUUAUCAUUAUUGACAAGUUAUUUCAUUUCUAUAGACACAUAACAAACUAUGGUAGAAAUGCUAAAGAAAAGGUCAAAAUGGAAAAGCCAAACCAGUUAAAAUAUGAACUCAAGGAGACUUUCCCACAAAAUUCCAUAACCUAGUAGAGUCUUCUACUAACUUAGGUCAGGAGUCAGCGAACUACAUCCAGUGGGCCAAAUGCAGGCCAUUGCUUGUUUUUGUAAAUAAAGUUUUAUUGGAACACAGCCACAAUUCAUUCAUGUACUGUCUAUGUUUGGUUUUGGCCUACAAAGGCAAGGUCAAGUUGUUGUGACAGAGACUUUCUGGCCUGAAAAACCAAAAAUAUAUAUUCUCUGGCCCCUUACAGAAACAGUUUGCUGACUUCUGCCUUAGGUCCCUGGCCUCUUCCAAAUGACCACUUUUAUAAAGGGUAUUUGUAUGUAAUUAAUGAUCUUCAAGAAAAUAUGUCAUCUAUAGACUUAGCAAAGAAAACAAAAAACAAAAAAAAGCCCAUACAAACAAACAAGUUAAGAACACAUAGUUCUAGCAAGAAGGAUAUUUGUAAAGGACCCUGCAAAGCACUCGCUUGAAGCAAUGUAAUUUGCAUAAAUACGUUGUGAUUGAAAUAAAGCGUUUGGCUGAUAUGUACAUUUCCUGAUGCGAGAGGGAGGGGAUUUGAUUUGCUGUGGCGAGUGUUAUUAAAUAAUGUAAAUAUAUCUACUCCACAGACUAUAUAAGUGUGCUACAAUGCUAGAAGGGUCACUGUGAGAUGGCUUUCACACUAAGGAAGCUGGCAGUAACCAAGAGAGACUUCCAGAAGAAAGGAGUACAAGAGGAAUGAAGACAUAUAUCUCCGCACUCGUGUGCUCCACCUCACGUGUCACGGCUCUCUCGUGCCUCCACCUUAACUACUGCACGACUGUGGAUUUUUUUUUUUUUAACCAGCUGCACCUGCGGCAUAUGGAAGUUGCUGGGCUAAGGGGUUGAAUCGGAGCUACACCACAGCUUGUGGCCACAGCGGCUCCUUAAUCCACUGAGCGAGGCCAGGGAUCGAACCGGCAUCCUCACGGACACUCUGUCUGGUUCUUAACCCGCUGAACCACAACAGGAACUCCCUACUUUGGAACCUUAAGCUCAAAUAUUCCAGUCUUUGAGCACCAUCGCCAAUCCUUUCUCCUCUCUUGAUUUCCUUCCAGGUAAUCAGCCUCCUCUCAAACCUCUCAACUUCUGAUAAGGAUUCAGCUGCCUUAUGGAGCCCGGAUCCCGGGGGCAGCAGCAGAAAUUCUUCUUGCCCUUCCUCUGUCUUCCUGCUGUGAUUCAGCAAAGUUCACUCCUGAUCAAGCGGAGCACACCCCUCCUUAGAGUGGAUAUUAAGUACACUGGGAAGAACCCGCGCUAGCGUGCAGACUGCAUUCCGCUAAGUGAGAUAAGGCAGAAGCAGAAAGACAAACACCAUAUGGUCUCACUUAUAUGUGGAAUCUAAAAAAACCAAACCAAAACCAAACCCCAAGCUGAUUGACAGAUAAAGAGAAGAGACCUCAUUUUACUGCGCUUCACAGAUAUGGCGUUGUAUUUUUUUUUUUAUGUUUUGUUUUUGUUUUUGUUUUUGUUUUUACAGAUCGAAGGCUUGCGGCAGCCCCUCAGGGAGCAAGUCUACAGGGGCCGUUUUUCCAACAGCAUUUGCUCACUCACUCACUUCGGGUCACUAUGCCACAUUUUGCUAAUUCUCACAAUUACCUUUUCAUGGUUAUUCUAUUUGUGACGGUGAUCUUUGAUAUUACUGCUAUGAUGUGCUGAAAGCUCAGAGGCUGGUUAGCAUUUUUAUCAAGAGUGUUUUUUUUUUUUUGUCUUUUUUGCUAUUUCUUUGGGCCGCUCCCGCGGCAUAUGGAGGUUCCCAGGCCAGGGGUCGAAUCGGAGCUGUAGCCACCGGCCUACGCCAGAGCCACAGCAACGCAGGAUCCGAGCCGCGUCUGCAACCUACACCACAGCUCACGGCAACACCGGAUCCUUAACCCACUGAGCAAGGGCAGGCACCGAACCCGCAACCUCAUGGUUCCUAGUCGGAUUCGUUAACCACUGCGCCACCACGGGAACUCCAAGAGUAUUUUUUAAUUAAGGCAUGUACAUUGUCUUUUUAGACAAAAAUGCUACUACUGUAGAGCUAAUAGGCUACAGGAUAAUGUAAACAUGACCUUUACAUGCACUGGGCAACUGACAAUCGGCAGGACUCUCUUUAUUGAAAUAUUCGCUUUAGUGCAGUGGCCCGGAACCCAACCCGCUAGAUCUCUGCGAUCGAGCUGUACCUAUCGUGUGCACGUGGUGGGGAUGCAAUGUACAGCAUGGCAACUACAGUUCAUAUGAUUUGCAUAUUUUCAGCUGCAUAUUUGUAUCAUGUAUUUGAAAGUUGCUAAGAGAGUGACUCCCAAAGUUCUCAUCCUAAGAAAAAAGUGUGUAACUACGUAUAGUGAUGGAUAACUAGCCCUGUGGUGAUCAUCUCAAAAUAUAAACAAAUGUUGACUCAUCAUGUCGUACGCCUGAAACUAAUAUAUAGUGUUGUCUGUCAACUGCACCUCAAUUGAAAAAAACCAAAAAAACCUGUGCGGGCUGGACACAAAUCCAUGGUUUUCACUUCAGAGGGGCCUGGAGCCCCGGGUGCCCAUAAACCCACUGUGUUCCUUCCCUGUCUAGUCCUUUGAGCUCUUAGCCUGCCAUCCACGUCCCUUCUCAAGCCCUCAUCUGAUCUCGCGCCACUAGAAGUUUCCUCUUCUCUCACCGAGGCACCAGGGUGAUUACUGAGAACUCUUGCUUCUUCGCUUAAAAGAUACUGAUGCCUGGGUCUCAUAUAACUGGUCUGGGGGCCAGCCUGCACAUCAGGAUUCUUAAAGGGUCCCCAGGGGACACCAUCAUGGCUGGGAACCACCAACCCAGACCACAAUUCCUCCAAAAUGAAUCCUAGCCGUCUCUCCUGAGGUCCGGCUCAUCUCCCUCAACACCCUCGCAUGGACAUUGCACAGGCAUCUCCAAUUUACCGGGUGAAUCUGUUCUGUUCUGUGGACAGAUUCAUUUGUGUCAUAUUUUAGAUUCCACAUACAAGCGAUAUCAGGCGGGACUUGUCUUUCUCUUUACAACUGACUUCAUUCACUUCGUAUGAGAGAGAAUCUUUACUUGCAUCCACGUUGCUGUAAAUGACAUUAUUGUGUCUUUUUAUGGCUGACUAGUAUUCCAAUGCAUAUAUGGACCACAUCUUCUUAAUUCAUUCCACUGUCGAUGGACAACUCACGGACAUGGAGCACAGACUGUGGUUGCCCAGGGGGAGGGGGAGGAAGUGGGGUGGACGGGGAGUUUGGGGUUGGCAGAUGUCAGUGAAGACUUUGGGAAUGGAUAAGCAAUGACAUCCUACUGUGCAGCACAGGGAGCUGUAUCUAGGCUCUUGGGACAGACCAGGAUGGAAGAGAAUAGGAGAAAAAGAAUGUAUAGGUAGGUGUGACUGGGUCACUUUGCUGUACAGCAGAAAACGGACACAACCUUGUCAAUAAGUUGCACCCCCCCAAAAUUUUUUCUUUAAUUUACCAUGUGAAAUACCAAACAUUACCCACACCCCUAUCCCAGCAAUAAAGUGUCUGUUUUCCUGAGAAGCCUCACCUUUACCCAAUUUUCCAAACCAGGGGGCCAGCAACGGCUCCAGAAUUUUCUACACUUUGGUUUGGGACAGGAGUCUGGGAGCAAGCUAUUUUGACUUGGCUUCUUCGCUUAUCUGAGGCGGUUGGGAACAAGAUGCUUUUGAAAAUUAUGAGGAGCCAGAUAUUCCACUAGCCUGUCGCUGCCACUGCCAGCCGAGACGCCCGCCACUCCCACCACCCCAACCCAACACAGCACCAAGGCCAGGUGGCCCUACAUCCGAGACCUCUCUCGAGCCCGUUACUUUUUAUUGUCACCACCAAUAAAGAGUCUCUCCAUUGAUCUCCCUGGCUUCAGCCUCCCCUCCUUGCCUUCCCAAGGUCUAAUCCAUCAGGGCCCCUCUCCACUUCCAGAACUGCCUCUCUGCGAUGCUAGGCACACCAGUCUCAGAUCCAUUAGCAAUGGCAUCCAAAUUACUGGGCGCUGCUUGUGAGCUCUCGGAAGACACGGCGCUGCUCUGUGUCCAUGUCUGCCUCUCGCUCUUCUCUCUGCUGAGGUCCAUUUUCCCUGGGCUUUGAUGGCUGAGCGUUAAAGGCAGACCUCCUCUGACACCCACGGGCCCACACACCCCUCCCUCCUGGGGUCACCCCUGCACCUGGACAUGUGUUCCUGAGGAUGAAAAUUCAUCAGUUAUUCUUCCUAUGUCCCUUCCUCCCCUGACUGGGUUCUCCUGAGAGCAGGGACCACACCUCCCUGACCUCGAGAUCUUCAGCCUGGAGCCGAGGGUCCGGCUCACCGCGGGAGAUGUGCUAACAAAGCCUUAGUGAAUGGAUUCAAGAAAGUCCCAGGAUUCAGAAGGAUUCCAGGACGAUUUGUAUCGGAUGACUGCAAAUGCCUCGGGCAGAUAUGCGAGUAAACACUCGCGGAUGGGUGUGUUGAAAAGUCUUGGCUCAGAUAAAAAAAAAAAAAAAAAAAAAAAAAAA